rnacentral:rRNA from 1 species
UACAGAGGGGGCAAGCGUUGUUCGGAAUUACUGGGCGUAAAGGGCGCGUAGGCGGCCCGCUAAGUCGAACGUGAAAUCCCCGGGCUCAACCCAGGAACUGCGUCCGAUACUGGUUGGCUUGAAUCCGGGAGAGGGACGUGGAAUUCCAGGUGUAGCGGUGAAAUGCGUAGAUAUCUGGAGGAAUACCGGUGGCGAAGGCGGCAUCCUGGACCGGCAUUGACGCUGAGGAGCGAAAGCCAGGGGAGCAAACGGG